GCUGGCGGCACGUCCCUCCAUGAGGGACGAGCGGCAGCGCGGGGGCAACCCUGGCGGCGAGCGGUGUANGCGUGAGUAAUACAUAAAAACGUGUCCAGUAGUGGGGGAUAACCAGUCGAAAGACUGGCUAAUACCGCAUACGAUCUACGGAUGAAAGCGGGGGACCGCAAGGCCUCGCGCUAUUGGGGCGGCCGAUGUCCGAUUAGCUAGUUGGCGGGGUAAUGGCCCACCAAGGCGACGAUCGGUAGCUGGUCUGAGAGGAUGAUCAGCCACACUGGAACUGAGACACGGUCCAGACUCCUACGGGAGGCAGCAGUGGG
rnacentral:rRNA from 1 species